GGCCCCUUGGUCAAGUGGUUAAGACACCGCCCUUUCACGGCGAUAACAUGGGUUCGAAUCCCGUAGGGGUCA
rnacentral:tRNA from 3 species